rnacentral:lncRNA from 1 species
GCAUAUGGAGGUUCCCAGGCUAGAGGUCAAAUUAUAGCUGUAGCUGCCGGCCUACACCACAGCACAGCAACACCAGAUCCAAGCUGCAUCUGUGACCUACAUCACAGCUCUCGGAAACGCCAGAUCCUUAACCCACUGAGUGAGGUCAGGGAUCGAACCUGCGUUGUCAUGGAUACUAGUCAGAUUCAUUUCUGCUGAGCCACGUUCGGAAUUCCCAAAUCUCUAGUUUGAAGUGUUAAGAACUCUCUGCUUAUUAGGUAUACAUCAUGAUUGAUAUACAUUAUCUUGUUCUUCAUAUAUAUGAACUCCAGAGGUAGAAGUUAUUCUCACUUUGUGGUUGAAAAACUGAGGUUCAGAGAGUUUAAGUAAAUUGCCUAGGUCAUAUUUUUUUAAAUAGUGGAGUGGUCAUUCAAACCAAAGACCCUUGACCAAAAGCAUCAGACUCUGCUCCCACACUACACCACUUCUGAUCAACAAUCUCAUCUAAGUGCCAGACACUCAAUACUGAAUUUCUAGAAGAUAUCUUCAUGUGGAUAUUCCAUAGAUGCUUCAGAAUCAGUGUAUCCAAAGGGGAAUUCAACAUCAUCCUGCAAAACCUUCUAAUGCAUUUGCCUCUCAGUACAGAGACUAUUUGUAGCAACCUAGUUGUACAACUCAGCAACCUGGGUUAUCUUAAGCCAUUCAUUUUUACACCUCACUGCAUCUGAUCCAUUUAAGUCUCGAUAAUUUCUCUUUUACAUAUUUUUAUUUUUGUAUCUUCCUCUUUGCUCUCAUGGCCAUAGCCAUCAUCAGGCCCUCACCUUUCCUCACAAUUUAAUUCCGUUUCCUCCCUAACAGAUCCAUCUUGCUUUUGUGUAACACAGCACUGACACACACUCUAUUCCCAGAGCAACCUCCACCCUGCCAAUGAUUUGUACAGUAUUCAAAUCCAGUAACGUCCCUCCUUUUUUCUCCCAGGCUCACCCUUCUUACUGUGGCAUACAGGAACCUUCAUGACCUGGUUACUGCCCCUUUAGGAAUUUACCUUCCAAGUCUUUUUCACAUGGGCCAUGUGCAUGAUGGACACAUUAGGGAAAUAUGUCUUUACAACUUUGGUUCCUUCUUUGAAUAUGUAACUUCUAACCUGUUUAGUAAAGAUCUAUUUGUUUUUCAACAUUCAUCUCAAAGACACUUCCUAUAAGAAGUGAGAGGCACAGACCGCAUCCCAAUAUAAAAAUUGAACACUACAGACAUUUGCUUUACCAAUUUCCAUGGCAGCUGAGAGGUCAGCAUGUGACUUGGGCUCUCAUCCUGGACUUUGAAUUUGGUACUAGUGAUACAUCAUAGCUACUACCCUCACUGAUGGUGCUGGGAGUAUCAUCAGUUCUAAGUUUCUGGGAUGAUACGGUGCUAUUAGCAAGAGUGCUUUGUGGCAGCCGCAAUGAUGCUCCUUCACCAUCAGUUCUGCGGCAUGAAUUGUUCCUGGCCUUAUUGUGCCUGAGUAGUGUUCUUGAGCCUUCUAAGUGUUUCUGAUAGAUCAGACACUAUUUUAAAAAUAAAUUCCUUUCUACUUAAGUCUGCCAGACGUAUAUCUGUACUUGCAACUAAGAGCAGUGGUUGCCAUGUCCAGGCAGAAUUAAGCAAAGCCCUACUCUCUGGUCUAAGAGCACUCUUUUCGAAGGGCUAUUAUGCACAUCUCUCAUUACAUUGUGGCUGUCUUGCUCUUCUGCCUUCCCCCCUCUAUUCAUCAUUUUGAAGUGAGGAUAUUUGUCUUCUUUUGUUUCUAUCCUCAUCCUAUCACAGGUCCUGGCACAUAAUGGUCUCAGUAAGUGUUUGUUUUGAAUGAGGAAGCUAUUUAAUGAAUAACUAAAAAACUGAUUUUGAAAUAGUCUGCUUUUCUACAUUAUGCUUUUUCUUCUUCAAAUAAUAGCCCUCUCUUAAAAAUUAACUAUAAAGCCUAAGUAGGCUCAAUCUGUUUACAUUGAAUCCGAUGAUUUUAAGUGCUUUCUAAAGACACAUCACUGAGAGAUCAAACAAUACUCUUGAAUUUGUCUGAUGAAAAAUGGUUCUGAAGUUAAGUAAGAUAUAGAUCACCACAGGACAUCCCAGCAUAUUCAAGGUCAUUCCAGUGCCCAUCAAUUUUACCAACUUUCAGUUAACUAGAAACAUCAAUUUCCUAACCAUGAUAGUUAAAUUAAAAAAUCACUUUAAAUAAAACAAUAUCUAAAUUCUUCGGAUUUAUGACCACUUAUUUGGCUUUAUUUUUAACAAGGAAAAGAAGAGAAAAGAUACGAUGGGAAAUAUCCCAUUAUUAACUUAAAGGAUUCCAUCCAGGUCAAGAACAGAGAUUAUCCUUUGAUACAGACAAUGGGUUCUAAAGAGGACGGGGAGACUGGUUUUCCACUGACCACUCAACCAUUUGGUACAUUUAGAACCAACACCCAGUGCAUUUUCAGACUUUUAAUACAGUCUCCCACCGUCAAGAUUAGUUGUCAAGCUGAACAGACACCAAUUCUGACUCUCAGGAGGAACGGCUACACAUUUAACUUGAUGGGAGACACACAAAAAGCAGCUAGUGGAGGUCCAGCUGACAUAUGAAUCAGUUGGAAAUCUAGAAUGUCACAAAAUACUAAAAGGCUAUAUUAGAGAGACAUUAGAAGCUGCCUUGUAAUAUUAUGGACCUUACAACCAUUAUUGCAAUUAAAUUUAUGUGUCUAUCUCUGGCACAGUCUCCCUUGAGUAUAAGAACUUUGUUGGACUUUACAAUUCAUCUUCCUAUCUCUAAGAAUAAGUAUCAUGCUUGGUAUACUUUUAAAAGUAAAGAAGCCAUAACAGGAUAAAACCCAUAUACCAAUUCUCCUUAAAAACUGUUUAAAGGCCACUUUUGGCAAAUCAGCUGAAAUUUUUCAAUGACCCAUGUGAUGGUUUAAAGAAACUAUUCAACAAUAUCCACCUUAUCCUUUCCAGUGAUUUCUAUAUUGCUUCAGUUUCUCUUCUUUCAGUAUUCUUUUUUUUUUUUUGUCUUUUUGUCUCUUUUUGUCUUUUGUUGUUGUUGCUAUUUCUUGGGCCACUCCCGCGGCAUAUGGAGCGGCCCAAAAAAUGGCAAAAAAAAAAAAAAAAAAAAAAAAAAAAAAAAAAAAAAAACUAAAAAAAAAAUANACUAAGUGGUAACUUCAUGGGUAGUACAAGUACCUUAUACUAAUAAUAAUCCUAAUUCUC